CUUAACACAUGCAAGUCGAGCGGUAAGGCCCUUCGGGGUACACGAGCGGCGAACGGGUGAGUAACACGUGGGUGAUCUGCCUUGCACUCUGGGAUAAGCCUGGGAAACUGGGUCUAAUACCGGAUAUGAGCCUGGACUGCAUGGUCUGGGUUGGCAAAGGUUUACUGGUGCGAGAUGGGCCCGCGGCCUAUCAGCUUGUUGGUGGGGUAACGGCCUACCAAGGCGACGACGGGUAGCCGACCUGAGAGGGUGACCGGCCACACUGGGACUGAGACACGGCCCAGACUCCUACGGGAGGCAGCAGUGGGGAAUAUUGCACAAUGGGCGAAAGCCUGAUGCAGCGACGCCGCGUGAGGGAUGACGGCCUUCGGGUUGUAAACCUCUUUUGACAGGGACGAAGCGCAAGUGACGGUACCUGUAGAAGAAGCACCGGCCAACUACGUGCCAGCAGCCGCGGUAAUACGUAGGGUGCGAGCGUUGUCCGGAAUUACUGGGCGUAAAGAGCUUGUAGGCGGUCUGUCACGUCGAUUGUGAAAACUUGCAGCUCAACUGCAAGACUUGCAGUCGAUACGGGCAGACUAGAGUACUUCAGGGGAGACUGGAAUUCCUGGUGUAGCGGUGAAAUGCGCAGAUAUCAGGAGGAACACCGGUGGCGAAGGCGGGUCUCUGGGAAGUAACUGACGCUGAGAAGCGAAAGCGUGGGUAGCGAACAGGAUUAGAUACCCUGGUAGUCCACGCCGUAAACGGUGGUACUAGGUGUGGGUUUCCUUCCACGGGAUCCGUGCCGUAGCUAACGCAUUAAGUACCCCGCCUGGGGAGUACGGCCGCAAGGCUAAAACUCAAAGGAAUUGACGGGGGCCCGCACAAGCGGCGGAGCAUGUGGAUUAAUUCGAUGCAACGCGAAGAACCUUACCUGGGUUUGACAUACACCGGAAAGCCAUAGAGAUAUGGCCCCCCUUGUGGUCGGUGUACAGGUGGUGCAUGGCUGUCGUCAGCUCGUGUCGUGAGAUGUUGGGUUAAGUCCCGCAACGAGCGCAACCCUUAUCUUAUGUUGCCAGCGCGUAAUGGCGGGGACUCGUGAGAGACUGCCGGGGUCAACUCGGAGGAAGGUGGGGACGACGUCAAGUCAUCAUGCCCCUUAUGUCCAGGGCUUCACACAUGCUACAAUGGCCGGUACAGAGGGCUGCGAUACCGUGAGGUGGAGCGAAUCCCUUAAAGCCGGUCUCAGUUCGGAUCGGGGUCUGCAACUCGACCCCGUGAAGUUGGAGUCGCUAGUAAUCGCAGAUCAGCAACGCUGCGGUGAAUACGUUCCCGGGCCUUGUACACACCGCCCGUCACGUCAUGAAAGUCGGUAACACCCGAAGCCAGUGGCCUAACCCUUGUGGAGGGAGCUGUCGAAGGUGGG
rnacentral:rRNA from 2 species